CCCUUAGAUGUUCUGGGCUGCACGCGCGCUACACUGAUGCACUCAACGAGUUUACGACCUUGCCCGAUAGGGUUGGGUAAUCUUUUUAAAACGCAUCGUGAUGGGGAUAGAUUAUUGCAAUUAUUAAUCUUCAACGAGGAAUUCCUAGUAAGCGCGAGUCAUCGGCUCGUGCUGAUUACGUCCCUGCCCUUUGUACACACCGCCCGUCGCUCCUACCGAUUGAGUGCUCAGGUGAAUAAUUCGGACUGCAGCAAUGUUUGGAUCCCGAACGUUGCAGCGGAAAGUUUAGUGAACCUUAUCACUUAGAGGAAGGAGAAGUCGUAACA
rnacentral:rRNA from 1 species